rnacentral:tRNA from 1 species
AGUUAAUGAGCUUGAAAUAAGCAUAUGUUUUGAAAACAUAAGAUAGAAAUCAAAUUUUCUAUUAACUUUACUAAAAAAAAUUCAUUAAAUUAAAUACAUUAAAAAAAUCUUAA